rnacentral:rRNA from 1 species
GAAGGGACCUAGCGUAGUUCGGAAUUACUGGGCUUAAAGAGCACGUAGGUGGUUAAAAAAGUUGGUGGUGAAAUCCCAGAGCUUAACUCUGGAACUGCCAUCAAAACUUUUUAGCUAGAGUAUGAUAGAGGAAAGUAGAAUUUCUAGUGUAGAGGUGAAAUUCGUAGAUAUUAGAAAGAAUACCAAUUGCGAAGGCAGCUUUCUGGAUCAUUACUGACACUGAGGUGCGAAAGCAUGGGUAGCGAAGAGGAUUAGAUACCCUCGUAGUCCAUGCCGUAAACGAUGUGUGCUAGACGUUGGAAAUUUAUUUUCAGUGUCGCAGCGAAAGCGUUAAGCACACCGCCUGGGGAGUACGACCGCAAGGUUAAAACUCAAAUGAAUUGACGGGGACCCGCACAAGCAGUGGAGCAUGUGGUUUAAUUCGAAGAUACGCGCAGAACCUUACCAACACUUGACAUGUUCGUCGCGACUUUAAGAGAUUAAAGUCUUCGGUUCGGCCGGACGAAACACAGGUGCUGCAUGGCUGUCGUCAGCUCGUGUCGUGAGAUGUUGGGUUAAGUCCCGCAACGAGCGCAACCCUUACUUUUAGUUGCCAUCAUUUAGUUGGGCACUCUGAAAGAACUGCCAGUGAUAAGCUGGAGGAAGGUGGGGAUGACGUCAAGUCCUCAUGGCCCUUACAUGUUGGGCUACACACGUGCUACAAUGGCAUUUACAAUAGGAAGCAAGAUGGCGACAUUAAGCAAAUCCUAAAAAAAUGCCUCAGUUCGGAUUGUACUCUGCAACUCGAGUACAUGAAGCUGGAAUUGCUAGUAAUCGCGGAUCAGCGCGCCGCGGUGAAUACGUUCCCGGGUCU